GAUUAACGCUAGCGGCAGGCAUAAUACAUGCAAGUUGAACGGCAGCACAGGUAGCAAUACUGGGUGGCGAGUGGCGCACGGGUGCGUAACACGUAUGCAACCUACCCUAUACAGGCGAAUAACCUUUAGAAAUGAGGGCUAAUACGCCGUAGUAUUACAGAUGGGCAUCUAUUUGUAAUUAAAGAUUUAUCGGUAUAGGAUGGGCAUGCGUCCCAUUAGUUAGUUGGUAAGGUAACGGCUUACCAAGACGAUGAUGGGUAGGGGAUCUGAGAGGACUUACCCCCACACUGGUACUGAGACACGGACCAGACUCCUACGGGAGGCAGCAGUAAGGAAUAUUGGGCAAUGGCCGCGAGGCUGACCCAGGCAUGCCGCGUGCAGGAAGACGGCCUUAUGGGUUGUAAACUGCUUUUAUACGGGAAUAAUAGAGUGUACGCGUACAUUUAUGCAAGUAUCGUAUGAAUAAGCAUCGGCUAACUCCGUG
rnacentral:rRNA from 1 species